rnacentral:rRNA from 1 species
AGCUCCAAAAGCGUAUAUUAAAGUUGUUGCGGUUAAAAAGCUCGUAGUUGGAUCUGCGUCCUUGGUUUGCGGUCCCCUAACGGGAGGUACUGCUUUACCAGGACUAAUACCUCUGGUUUACCCUUGGUGCUCUUUAUUGAGUGUCAUGGGUGGCUGGAACGUUUACUUUGAAAAAAUUAGAGUGCUCAAAGCAGGCAGUCAGCCUGAAUAGUGGUGCAUGGAAUAAUGGAAUAGGACUUCGGUUCUAUUUUGUUGGUUUAAGGGAUCGAAGUAAUGAUUAAGAGGGACAGACGGGGGCAUUCGUAUUGCGCCGUUAGAGGUGAAAUUCUUGGAUCGGCGCAAGACGAACUACUGCGAAAGCAUUUGCCAAGAAUGUUUUCAUUAAUCAAGAACGAAAGUA